GCAGAACGCGAAGAACCUUACCUGGCCUUGACAUCCAUGGAAUCCCGAAGAGAUUUGGGAGUGCCGCAAGGAACCAUGAGACAGGUGCUGCAUGGCUGUCGUCAGCUCGUGUCGUGAGAUGUUGGGUUAAGUCCCGCAACGAGCGCAACCCUUGUCCUUAGUUGCCAUCAUUAAGUUGGGAACUCUAAGGAGACCGCCGGUGACAAACCGGAGGAAGGUGGGGAUGACGUCAAGUCAUCAUGGCCUUUAUGGCCAGGGCUACACACGUGCUACAAUGGCAAGUACAGAGGGAAGCCAACCGGCGACGGGGAGCUAAUCCCAGAAAACUUGUCUUAGUCCGGAUUGCAGUCUGCAACUCGACUGCAUGAAGUUGGAAUCGCUAGUAAUCGCAGAUCAGCAUUGCUGCGGUGAAUACGUUCCCGGGUCUUGUACACACCG
rnacentral:rRNA from 1 species